AAAAACAUUAGUUUGAGCACGUUUCAAACGUGUUGUUGUUUCGAGUAGACGAUGAAUACACCAAUAUCCCGCAAUGAACACCGCUCAGGUCAUUGCGAGGAACACGUUGGAACCCUCCGACUGAUUACUCACGCAUUACACCGCCGGUGAACCCGUGUGUUCCGAAAAGAAAAAGAAAUACGCUAGCGGUCACGCCCAAUGGUCGUGCGUGUUUUGGAACACCACGGGAAAACAAAAUGGCCGCCACUUGGCAGUGAGCAGCGCGGAGUAGCGCAUGUGCAGGAGCCUGUGACUGGGCGUUUUCGUCGUCGCCGAGGCCUAAGAAAUAAAAAAGCCGUCCGCGCAUACGCAUCACGGUUAACGUUGUAAUUCUCUGCCGACAUGAGUGCGUCACAUGGCUGUGGAGUGCAGUGAAUUGCCGCUUCGCCGCUACCUGCUAAACUUCGUGCUUUUCGUCGCCGACUUCAUUCAGGCAAGCGUACGCCCAAGCAGCAAGAUGCUCUACCUCGAAGACUAUCUCGAGAUGAUCGAGCACCUGCCUCAGGAACUUCGGGACAGGUUCACGGAGAUGCGAGAGAUGGACCUGCAAGUUCAGAAUGCAAUGGACAGCUUGGACGAACGAGUGAAACAGUUCUUUGCAAAUGCCCGAAAAAUGAAGCCGGAACAGCGAGACAUGGACUUCGACAAGAUUAGAAAGGAUUAUUACAAGGCACUCGAAGAUGCGGAUGAGAAGGUGCAGAUAGCAAACCAGAUUUACGACCUGGUGGACCGUUACCUGCGACGCCUGGACCAGGAGCUCCAAAAGUUCAAAAUGGAGCUGGAAGCAGAUAACGCGGGAAUCACGGAGGUCCUCGAGAGGCGGUCCCUGGAGUUGGAUAAGCCCCCACCAUCCACUGUCAAGGCUGAGAAACGAAAGCACGUCGCAACAUCGUUGGGCGGUACCUCGAUGAGCAGCAGCGGGCAGCCACCCGAGAAGCGCCAGGCCACGGAGCGGGUCCUCCCUUUGGCUGGCGAAGUGUCCGGCGGGCGGCCCAUGGCCGCUGCCGUAGGUGCCACCGCGGGCACGGCGGCACUGGCGCCCGCCGACCGGUUGCUCAUCCCGCCGUCGGCCCUCACUUACGGCCUGGGGAGCAACGCCAUCGCCGCGGCGGCAUCGCAGGCCAUCGCUGCAACGCAGCAAAUGCAGCAGGGGCGGCGCACAGCCAGCCUGAAAGCUAGCUACGAGGCAAUCAACGCGCUCACCUCUCGAGAGUUCACGAUGGGUUCAAAGGAUAUCGGCUCGCUGACUUCACUGACGCCGCCUCCAGCACCUACACCACCCCAGGUCAUGGCGACUCCUUCGCCGGCCGCUGCUGUCGUGGCUGCCCCUGUAGCUAUUGCAGAGCCAAAGCGCUCCACAGUCCAAAAAGCAGAGCCGGGCGUCAAAUCAGUCCUCAUUGGCGGCAGCGAGCGAGGAUUCGGGUGAUUCUCUGCUGAUGCUCGGGACUGGUACAGAAGAGGUGAACCUGGACUGGGGUUGCGAUCCCAACGAGCCCCGAUACUGCAUCUGCAAUCAGGUGUCCUACGGUGACAUGGUCGCCUGUGACAAUGACGAUUGUCCCUUUGAAUGGUUCCACUACCAGUGUGUGGGCAUCACACAGCCUCCGAAGGGCAAGUGGUUUUGUCCGCAGUGUACAUCAGCCAUGAAACGGAGGGGACGCAAGGAUCGCUGAGCGGGUUUAAGAAUAAAGAGGACAUUGUCAGUGUUGUUGA